rnacentral:rRNA from 1 species
AACGAACGCUGGCGGCAUGCCUAACACAUGCAAGUCGAACGAGACCUUCGGGUCUAGUGGCGCACGGGUGCGUAGCGCGUGGGAACCUGCCCUUAGGUUCGGAAUAACUCCCCGAAAGGGGUGCUAAUACCGGAUAAUGUCUUCGGACCAAAGAUUUAUCGCCUUUGGAUGGGCCCGCGUUGGAUUAGCUAGUUGGUAGGGUAAAAGCCUACCAAGGCGACGAUCCAUAGCUGGUCUGAGAGGAUGAUCAGCCACACUGGGACUGAGACACGGCCCAGACUCCUACGGGAGGCAGCAGUGGGGAAUAUUGGACAAUGGGCGAAAGCCUGAUCCAGCAAUGCCGCGUGAGUGAUGAAGGCCUUAGGGUUGUAAAGCUCUUUUACUCGGGAUGAUAAUGACAGUACCGGGAGAAUAAGCGCCGGCUAACUCCGUG